rnacentral:rRNA from 1 species
AGAGUUUGAUCCUGGCUCAGAGCGAACGCUGGCGGCGUGCCUAACACAUGCAAGUCGAACGUGAAAAGGGGCAACCCUGAGUAAAGUGGCGUACGGGUGAGUAACACGUAGGUAAUCUACCUGAGAGUUUGGAAUAACCUGCCGAAAGGCGGGCUAAUACCAGAUAGAGCGACGGGGCUCGUAAUGGAGUCUUUCGGGAAAGGGAGGCAGUAAUGCCCUUCGCUCUCAGAUGAGCCUGCGUCUCGUUAGCUAGUUGGUGGGGUAACGGCCCACCAAGGCAACGAUGGGUAGCUGGUCUGAGAGGACGAUCAGCCACACUGGGACUGAGACACGGCCCAGACUCCUACGGGAGGCAGCAGUGGGGAAUUUUGGACAAUGGGGGCAACCCUGAUCCAGCCAUGCCGCGUGUGGGAAGAAGGCCUUCGGGUUGUAAACCACUUUUGUCGGGGAAGAAAUUGGCCAGGUUAACACCUUGGCUAGAUGACGGUACCUGGAGAAUAAGCACCGGCUAACUACGUGCCAGCAGCCGCGGUAAU